UACGUAGGGUCCGAGCGUUGUCCGGAAUUACUGGGCGUAAAGAGCUCGUAGGUGGUUUGUCGCGUUGUUCGUGAAAACUCACAGCUCAACUGUGGGCGUGCGGGCGAUACGGGCAGACUGGAGUACUGCAGGGGAGACUGGAAUUCCUGGUGUAGCGGUGGAAUGCGCAGAUAUCAGGAAGAACACCAAUGGCGAAGGCAGCUCUCUGGGACGGUACUGACGCUGAGACGCGAAAGCGUGGGGAGCGAACAGG
rnacentral:rRNA from 1 species